UACGUAGGGGGGCUAGCGUUGUCCGGAAUCAUUGGGCGUAAAGAGCGUGUAGGCGGCCCGGUAAGUCCGCUGUAAAAGUCAAAGGCUCAACCUUUGAAUGUCAGUGGAUACUGCCGGGCUAGAGUCCGGAAGAGGCGAGUGGAACUCCUGGUGUAGCGGUGGAAUGCGCAGAUAUCAGGAAGAACACCAACGGCGAAGGCAGCUCGCUGGGACGGUACUGACGCUGAGGAGCGAAAAGCGUGGGGAGCGAACAGG
rnacentral:rRNA from 1 species